GUCACCGGGGAGGCGGCCGCCCGCCACUUAGUAAUUUGGAAAAGUAACUCUCCCCUCCUUUCCGCUCCCUCCCCCGCAGCACACAAGGAGGCGACUGUUCCGGGGAGGGGAGGGGCGGGGGGAGGGGAGGGCGGCGGCCCGGGGCCCCGGAGCGCAGCUCCCGACUCGGGGGAGACUCGCCGUUCCCCACCCCGGGGCAGACCCAGGCAGGCCCCGGGCCGUGUCGUUGUGCAGAAGCACACGCGCGCGCACACACACAGACACACACACUGGCCCGCAGUCUGCACGCCAUGUGACGCCCGCAGGCUCGCCCGCCGCGCCACGACACGGCACAACACAAAGGGAGCGCAGAGUCGCGCCUGCAGGGCCCCCGGGGACACCGGCUCGCAGCCAGGGCUGCCAAACUCCGGAGCCCUCGGCCCCACGACGGACGCACCCCCACGCGCCCCUCCCCCGCCAGCCGGGCCCACGGGCCGGGUCGCGCUGCCCGUCGUCGUCCCCACCCCACCCCCGUUCUCACCUGGCUCCUGCAGGGUCCCCGCGCCCCCGGGGACGCCCGGGAGGGGGGCACGCGCCACCGUCGCCCCGGUGCCCUCGAGUGGGCGCGCAGGCACGAGGCCGGCCGUUCCCCUCCCCCCCUGCGCCGGUGGCCCUGUCGGGCUGGCCGCGGUCCACGCUCCCAUUGGCUGUCAGGUGUCUGAAGGACAAGUCCCCCCCCACCCCUCCCCGAUCCUCUCCCGAACCCCAAGAAUCCUGCCGUCCCCACUCCCCACCUUUGGCGGAGGCGACACGCGGCGCCCCCGCCCCAGGCCCCCGCUCACCUGGACCCCGGAGCCGCGGGGAGGGCGCGCGGGGGGCGGGCGGGGUGCGGUCCAAGUCGCCCUCAGCCCGGCCGGGGGGAGCCCGGGAUCCGGGGUGUCGCCCCCCCGGAAGCCCAGGCGGCGUUGGGGGAGGGGGCGUUGCCCCCGGCCCCUCCCUCCCUCCCUCCUCCCGGGCGGCCGGGGGUGGGUGGGGAGGGUAGGGAGGGGAGCAUCGGGGCCGCGCAGCCGCCACGUCAGCGGCCCGCGGAUUGGCUGGCCCGGGUCACGUGCCCGCCCCCCACGGCCACGCGGGCGCGGCUCCCCGAACGUUCCCGGGGGUCGUGUGCGGGGUCCCCGGGGCCGCCCGGUCAGGGGCCGCGUCCCCGAGCUAAGGCCGCCGCGACCACCCCCUCCCCGGCCUCCGCGCGGCCGCGGCCGCCCCCGUCCCCCCACUCGCCUCUCGGUACCGGUUCAGCAUGGCCGCCGCAGCCCCCGAGACGCGCCACCGCGCAGGCGCGAGGGUGUGCCCCCGCCGGCGGAGCCGCAGUGCGCAGGCGCGGGACGCCGCCGCCGCCGCCGCCGCCGCCGCCGCCCGAGCCCCGGGGCGAGCCGGGUGGGAGCGCGCGCGAUGGGUGGGGCGGCAGCGCGCGGGCUGCGGAGCGGGCGAGCCCCUGGACGGCCCUUUCCCCACCGCGCCAGCGCCUGCGGCGCGGCGGGAGUCCGGUCUUCCGGCUCCGGCCCCCAGGCGCUGCCUGCCCGGCGCCUGCUGGCCCGGUGA
rnacentral:lncRNA from 1 species